UGGGGAAUCUUGCGCAAUGGGCGAAAGCCUGACGCAGCGACGCCGCGUGAGCGAUGAAGGCCUUCGGGUUGUAAAGCUCUGUGGGGAGGGAAGAAUAAGUGGAAGCUAAUACCUUCCAUGAUGACGGUACCUCCUUAGCAAGCACCGGCUAACUCUGUGCCAGCAGCCGCGGUAAUACAGAGGGUGCAAACGUUGUUCGGAAUUACUGGGCGUAAAGCGCGUGUAGGCGGCUAUGCAAGUCGGAUGUGAAAUCCCGCGGCUCAACCGUGGAAGUGCACUCGAUACUGCAAAGCUAGAGUCCUGGAGAGGAAGGUGGAAUGCUUGGUGUAGAGGUGAAAUUCGUAGAUAUCAAGCGGAACACCGGUGGCGAAGGCGGCCUUCUGGACAGUGACUGACGCUGAGACGCGAAAGCGUGGGGAGCAAACAGG
rnacentral:rRNA from 1 species